rnacentral:rRNA from 1 species
GAUGAACGCUAGCUACAGGCUUAACACAUGCAAGUCGAGGGACCGGCGCACGGGUGAGUAACACGUAUCCAACCUGCCCUUUACUCGGGGAUAGCCUUUCGAAAGAAAGAUUAAUACCCGAUGUAAAGGAUGGGGAUGCGUUCCAUUAGGUUGUUGGUGAGGUAACGGCUCACCAAGCCUUCGAUGGAUAGGGGUUCUGAGAGGAAGGUCCCCCACAUUGGAGUGGAGACUCGGUCAAAACUCCUACGGGAGGCAGCAGUGAGGAAUAUUGGUCAAUGGGCGUUAGCCUGAACCAGCCAAUGAGCGUGAAGGAUGAAGUCUUAGGGGUCGUAAACUUCUUUUAUAUAAGAAUAGGUAUUAUAUGAAUAAGGAUCGGCUAACUCCGUGCCAGCAGCCGCGGUAAUAC